CCUAUUUGAUGCAACCCGUUUAGCCGAAACCAACCCAAAUGCGGCCGAAAGCAAAUUUAGUUUUCGGAAUUGUCAGAUCCAAUGGAUCAUGCUAUUAUGCUAUUCUCUAAUUGGAGGCGCCUCCGAAAGUGCAACCUUGAAGUCAUCAAAAUCUUAUAAUCCGACAUCUGGAAUUUAAAUUUCUCAACAAGGGCAUCAGAUCCACAAUCGGUUAACUGCAUCUCCAAUGAUCUUCUACUUUGAACGCUUUUCUGAAGGUGACAAACUAAAGUAUUUAUUUUCCCUGAAUUUGCCAAUGAAACCAAAGGAUCUCUAAGCCCAGUUCCAUUUCAGAAUGUUAAUAUAUCAAGGUUUUCGUUUCAAAUGCUCUUGUUGAGAAUUUUAAAUUUUGGAUGUCAGAUUAUAAAACAUAGGUGACUUCAAAAUGAUAGAUACACACAGCCAUGAAUAACAACUUGCAGAUCGGCACGUAAGCAUAUAUAACACUUUUUGUCCUUGAGUUUAUUAUUUUCUUGCUAGCACUGAAAUACAAGUCGUGACUCGUGAGAGGAUGGAGUGGACCACAAAGGUUUGGAGCAAUGGCCACAAAGUUUAGUCUAUUUUUUAUUCUUGUUUAGUUACAAAUUUCCGUCAUCAAGGAGUGAUUCAUAUAUGGGAUAUUGCUGCUUCUUUGAAGAACUAGUUGCUGCCUGUUUAUAAUAGGAAAAUUGCACCAAACAGAGACAAGUACUACCACAUUAAACACCUGAUCAUGUUGUAUUAGAUGGUGUGAUGAGAAGAAGCAACAACAGGCCUCUACCCACACUCUUUGUAUAUUCAGUGGUUUGUUAUGUUCCUACUUCUUACCUUUUACUAGAAAGGUUGUGGUUCCUUGAAUCCAUGAUGCGUUUACCAGAGUCCACAGAGAAAGGAAUAAAAUCGAAGUUUAUAGUCAUAUAUUGUGAUUUUGGUCCUCCUGAAAUGAACAGUUUAAAGUUAGUUAUCUUUGUAUCCAACCUGAAUAGAAUUAGCCAGAAUAAUUCCAACAACGGGAUGCUGCUGCACCAAGUUGUAUCCCAAGAUUUAACGCGACAGCAUACACAAGA